rnacentral:rRNA from 1 species
UACGUAGGGGGGCAAGCGUUGUCCGGAAUCAUUGGGCGUAAAGAGCGUGUAGGCGGCCCGGUAAGUCCGCUGUGAAAGUCGGGGGCUCAACCCUCGAAUGCCGGUGGAUACUGUCGGGCUAGAGUGCGGAAGAGGCGAGUGGGAAUUCCGUGGUGUAGCGGUGAAAUGCGCAGAUAUCAGGAGGAACACCGAUUGCGAAGGCAGCUCGCUGGGACGUAACUGACGCUGAGACGCGAAAGCGUGGGGGAGCAAACAGG